CUCUGCUGGAGCUGGUGGAGGGCCAUCCAUCCCUUUCCACAGAAACAAGCUCAAGCUCUCAGUAAUUAUUUUGAGAAGGAAUUUUAGAAUCAGUAUCUAAAAAGAAGAUGAGCCUUUUGGGAGCAUGGGAGCUCCGCCUUUCACCUUUUGGUGCUCUUCUGGCAUUACCCCUUAUAGGGACAUGAGAUUAAUGCUGUGAGAAGCCUCCAUCCCUGUCAACCACCACAACUGCUUCAGUGGCAUAGAGAAGAUAAAGCCUUUAGAGAGAACUUAGUAGCAUGUCUUUGCUCUUAUAAUGCUAUCCUGUACUUGGACCUAUGAAUUCCAAUUCAGUGAAUUCUGCCAACAUUAAAGAAACUCCAAGUUUUGCCCUUGGUGAUGCCCUUGGUGAAGCCCUUGGUGAACUACUCAGACCAAACAGCUUGGACAGUUUUGUUUUUGCUGUUCUACCUCUUGCUCCAAAGAACUGCUGUGAGCCUUGAGGACCUCCUCCAGCAGAGCACUUCUCAGAAGCUCUACAGCACAGGGAUUGAGCACAGCACCAGCACUGACUGCCAGUUGUUCACUGAUGGUGCCAGAGCACUGUAACAGAGAUCUGUGGAGAAGGCAAUGCCUGAGGAGAUUUUGCAGGUUUAAUGCAACUGAUCUCCGUGGAAUUGUGUCCCUGCUUUCCAAAUUGCCAAAUCCUUCUCCAGUUAUAAAGCCCUCACCAGAAAAGUCUUUUCAAUACUUAGCAUAUGUAUUAUAGCAGAAGAAAGAGAAAAAUAGGAAAUGUCUGGUAAAACAGCUUUGUAAAGAUCCUGGUAAAGAUCCUGAUCUUGGAUUGGGUUCUGAUGACCAAAAUUCUGAAGGAAACUGUGUUGUGGAACUGUUUCUCAGUUGUGACCACCUGCAUCUCACCUUUACAACAGCAGCUUCACCAUGCUGUGCUCCUGUGGGUCUGACAUCCCACCAGGCGGAGCCCACUGCAUUCCAUGCCAACUGAUUUCACAGCCUGACAGCAUUUUGAAAGCCACUAAACGAAGAACUUGAAAACUGAUGGACUUUGCUAUAUAUAUAUAUAUAUAUAUAUGUGUGUGUGUGUAUAAUGCUAUCUAACUUGAAGGCAGUCAAUAGACUUGAGAAAAUGAGCAGCCUGCCUGGUUAGUGCAUUAUCCAUCAACACAGGUAAGGAACAGUCUCCUGCUCAUUCUCAGUCUCUUGCUGUGGGAAUAGAUCUUGCUCCUGUUCCUUUUUUCUUGCUGGUCCCGAGCUGCCUGUGCUGUGUUCUGAGCCUGCCUGAGAAGGGAUUGUUAUGAAAAAAAAUUGUUCACACAGCACAAAGGGCAAUGCUGUGCAUAUUUUAACUGAAUAGUUAGCAUCCUUAGUGAGACCCAAUUACCUGCAGAAAGGGCCAAAUCAGGACUGUGGAUGUCAGGUGUCCCUGGACUGAACCUGGGCUGAUAGCACCUGUAUUGAGCACUCCCAUUUUCAUGUCUGUCAGAAAUGGUAGGAGAUUUAAAGCUCUCUGUAUAAAGCCAGUAGAUUCAGAAAACUGAAAUAUAUGCAGAAACUUAUGGGAAACUAUGACAAAAGACCUCUACAAAUUUAGAUAAAUGGUGAAAGCCAAGAAGUUUUAGAAAGCAAGGAAGAUGCCAAGAGAUGUGCUGUUGGAUUUGGGUGCCUUUGAUACCUUAAGACAAGGUGUCAAAGUGGCUGAGAAAUGAGGGAAACCAGUCACCACCUGUCCCUGUGUGAAGUCAUGUAGUUGAGUGAUGGAAUUAUGGUCUCUGAUGUGUAGUAACUCUUCAGCUUCUAUUUUCAGUAGAGCAAGAUCUAGGAGAACAAGCCUUAGAAGAAGCUGGUCUCAAUAGGUGUCCCUCUGUGCACAGCAGGAGAGAAUUUCCCAACAGUGCUUCUGUCCUGUGCUCCUUCUGGGUCUGUUCAGUAACAAAGACCUGCUUUAAAAAUCUGCAGGCUGCCACCUAAAAACUAUCAUGCUGUUCUUAUUGAUGGGAGCGAAAGGAAAAGACCAAGGAAGGAGUAUGAGACUGAAUCCUCCAUGCUCUACUGGCUGCUUUACAGAGAACCUAAGCAAGGCCUUCUCAAGCCCUUGACGUUGCUUCAUUGCUGCAAUCUCAUAGCUGGAACUUUCACAAGCCCCUUUGCUGAGGAAACACAGGCAGGAGGAACAGAAAGACCUCCUUGGUCUCCUGGGGAUCCAAGGGUCACAGGCCAGAACAUGACAGGAGACAGAUUAUGCACUGCUGCUUUCUGCAUCAGAGCACCUAUGUCUCCAAGGCAUUUGGGCUGAGCUGCACUUCCAGGACAUUUAACAACAUAGUUUUAUGAAGAUGUAGCCAGCAAUAUACUGAGGAGUGCAUUAACUCACUCUCAUAUUUUAAAGGAAGGAGAAAAAUGAAAACUCAUGCAUGUGUACAUAUGAAUGUCUAACAGUGAGAAAGACAUCCCGAGGUCAAACAGAAUUCUUUCCAAAAUGAGCAUUUAAAGAAGCAACUUUCCAAGAACACAUAAUCCUCUUCCAUGACAAUAUUAAUGAAACUCUGUGCUGUAGGAUACAGGAAAUGAUAAAUUGCCCAAAGGUUUGAAAUUAAUGUCAUCUAACUGUCAAAAUAUGCAGUGAUAAUUACUGGGAUAUGGACUUGGACGCUUUUGAUUCACGCUAGUUAUGUAGCCUUGAAUAAGGAAUUUUGCCUAGUGUUGCCCCAGUGGUCUCCUGACAUUCUGCUUUCUCUGACAAAUGAGAGAAAUAAGAAAAAUAUCAAGGUGCUAUAUCCUAAGUAUUUGAAAGAGGAAAAGAAGCAUAAAAUCUUGGCUCUAAAAGUAAAAAUAAAGCAGUGUCAACAUUAGUCCAUGAAGGUAUCAACAAAAUUAAAUCAUUUUAAUACACUCUAAUGAUACAUAUUCAGGCAGGCAAUUCAGUUAAUUAGUUUUAUGAUAAAAUAAGUGUUAUUGCCUUCUGUAACUGAAAGUUUAUAUUACUAGACA